CUGGAAAAGGUGAUAGAGUGAAAGAUUACUAUGCUCUUCUAGAGUUCAUUAUUCAUCGCUACCCCAUGUGAGGUUUUAAGAACAAAACACAGAAAUAUCUGAAUGACACUUCAUUGCUUAAUUCAUGUUUAAGUUGAAUUGUAUCUCUUUUGCGUUCCACAGUGAUCUGAGAGUCCAUGAGAGUGCCCUUAUAAUGGCAGAGGACCGGAACAAAAUAAAAACUUCUUACUGUGAUUGCCAAUUGGGACCAUCCUUAAAAUGGCUUUAUCCACUGGGAGAUUACCUUAGCAACAUUAUUGGAAUGGAAAAUGAGAAAAAUAUAAAAGAUAUGCACUGGUUAGUAAUUACCCAGACAUCAGCAAGAAGCAGUUGUCAGCUGUUCUGUCCUUCAGAGACAAUGGUUUAAACUUUGAGAGUGACAAGAAGUGACAAGAAUCUGAUCACAUCACUGUACUGCCUUACUUAAGGAUACUUUAUAAAUACAUAUAUUUAUAUGUAUAUAGGCUGACAUGUAUUCUAAGUAUCUAAGUAUCACACUAUUAUGUUUACAGAGAUUCUCUUGGCCAUUCGGAUGCUUCGGGAACCAUCAGGAACUAUAAACAAUUGCAUUAUUUUAUGAGGCUACUUGUGCUAUUUGCCUCUAACCAUCCAUUAUUUUUUUAGCAAGAAUUUAACCAUUUAACUAUUAUUGUGCAGCCUUAUUUUGGUGUAUGUUUUGGUUGUUUGUACGUAUAUUUUCCAACAGAGGGAGACAUUAAACUAUAGAUGCAAAUUUCGCAUUUCCUCCAUAUUGCCUAAUCAUGCAUAAAGAGACUUGGUGGAUUCAGUCUAUCUACUGUUAUAUCAAUCAAUCAUCUAAAUGUGAAUUAUAAAACACAAUGCUGGACAAAACUGAGUGUGUGCUGUGCAAUAUUAACUCCAGGUGGACUCAGCUCUUGCAACAAAACCUAUUGGUUGGUUAUUCAUAUUUUGUCCCUCCCUCUUCUCUUGUUUAAUGCAAAUUUAAAAUUUUUUUUUUUUUUUUUUUUUUUUUUGCCUAAACCUAACAUUCUCUCUGAUUUUUAUCAAUGAACAAAACAUGUAGAUAAAAUUCAUUUUCACCGCUACAGUGUGUUAUUGAACAGAUAUUUACUUUUACAUACUUUCGCAAUGUUUUGGGGAUAUUUAUACAGAUAUUGAUGUGAGAUGCCAUCUUUGUUUACAUAAUCAUGUUUGAUUUUGUUUUAAUGACUUAACUAUAUGAGGUGGUGAAUUUAUUAAUGAAAUAAUUAUUAAACAUUUUACACAUUUCCACAUGCAAAUAGAGUGUAUUUGUUUAUCUGCCUGAGAGAGUGUGUUAUUUCAGGACAGGCUGGCUUGUGUCCAGAUGUCCUGAGGAUUACAAUCUUAUCCACAGUCUCUAGAAUUAGAUGUCAUGAAAUGGGUAGGAGGGGAUUUUAAAGAUAUUUGUAGUUCACUGAAUGCCAUGGGUCUCUGGCUCGCCCACAAGUCCUCUUCAGCUAAAAAUUACACUUUGUUCUCCUCCUCUCACCUCCACAUAAGCAUCUCUAUCACUUUUGCUUCCUGCAAAUUCAUAAUCCCUCUUUUUCUCCAACUUGCUCUACUUAACGUGAUCACAGGUCUAUUUGCCUUUUUCCUCCUCUCCUUCUUUCAAGAGGAUGCAGCUUAUUCAAAUAUCUUCUAGCUGAUUUGUAUACAGAGACUGUAGGCAGCUGAUGACUUCCUGGGUGUCAUGUCAUUGUGAAGAUGUGUGUGUGUGUGUUUGUGUGUGUAUGAAAAUGCAUGUCAGGGCUUCUGUCUCUGGUGCUCAGUAUUAUAUUUAGCUCAUCAUAGCGUACCUGAUAUCAGACACAUUCCAGCGCUUUCUCUGUCUCUCACCCUGCCUUACCUUAUCAUGCGGAGCAGGAGUCAAACUCACCAGUCAAAUGCUAUCAGGUUUAAUAAAACUCUCACGAGGUCCA
ensembl:lncRNA